rnacentral:sRNA from 1 species
UUUAGAGGAAGUAAAAGUCGUAACAAGGUCUCCGUAGGUGAACCUGCGGAGGGAUCAUUACCGAGUUCAUGCCCUUGCGGGUAGAUCUCCCACCCUGUGUUAUCAUUACCUUUGUUGCUUUGGCGGGCCGCCCGGCCUCGGUCAGGCUAUCGGCUUCGGCUGGUAAGCGCCCGCCAGAGGACCCCAAAUCCUGAUUAUUAGUGUCGUCUGAGUACUAUAUAAUAGUUAAAACUUUCAACAACGGAUCUCUUGGUUCUGGCAUCGAUGAAGAACGCAGCGAAAUGCGAUAAGUAAUGUGAAUUGCAGAAUUCAGUGAAUCAUCGAAUCUUUGAACGCACAUUGCGCCCCUUGGUAUUCCGAGGGGCAUGCCUGUUCGAGCGUCAUUACAACCCUCAAGCAUUGCUUGGUCUUGGGCUCCGCUGCUUCCCCAGCGGGCCUUAAAAUCAGUGGCGGUGCCGUCGGGCCCUGAGCGUAGUAAAUCUUCUCGCUACAGGGUGUCGAUGGACGCUGGCCAUCAACCUCCUUACUCUCUAAGUUUGACCUCGGAUCAGGUAGGGAUACCCGCUGAACUUAA